rnacentral:lncRNA from 1 species
GGUCAGGUAGUGUACAUGUAGGUCAGGUAGUGUACAGGUCAGGUAGUGUACAGGUCAGGUAGUGUACAUGUAGGUCAGGUAGUGUACAGGUCAGGUAGUGUACAUGUAGGUCAGGUAGUGUACAGGUCAGGUAGUGUACAGGUCAGGUAGUGUACAGGUCAGGUAGUGUACAUGUCAGGUAGUCUACUGGUCAGAAAGUGUACAGGUCAGGUAGUGUACAGGUCAGGUAGUGUACAGGUCAGGUAGUGUAAACGUCAGAUAGUGUACAGGUCAGGUAGUGUACAUGUAGGUCAUGUAGUGUACAUGUAGGUCAUGUAGUGUACAUGUAGGUCAGGUAGUGUAGAGGUCAGGUAGUGUAGAGGUCAGGUAGUGUAGAGGUCAGGUAGUGUAGAGGUCAGGUAGUGUAGAGGUCAGGUAGUGUAGAGGUCAGGUAGUGUACAUGUAGGUCAGGUAGUGUACAGGUCAGAUAGUGUACAGGUCAGGUAGAGUACAGGUCAGGUAGUGUACAGGUCAGGUAGUUUAAAGGUCAGGUAGUGUACAUGUAGGUCAGGUAGUGUACAUGUAGGUCAGGUAGUGUACAGGUCAGGUAGAGUACAGGUCAGGUAGUGUACAGGUCAGGUAGUGUUAACGUCAGAUAGUGUACAGGUCAGAUAGUGUACAGGUCAGGUAGAGUACAGGUCAGGUAGUGUACAGGUCAGGUAGUGUACAGGUCAGGUAGUUUAAAGGUCAGGUAGUGUACAUGUAGGUCAGGUAGUGUACAUGUAGGUCAGGUAGUGUACAGGUCAGGUAGUGUACAGGUCAGGUAGUGUACAGGUCAGGUAGUGUAUAGGUCAGGUAGUGUACUAGUCAGGUAGUGUACAGGUCAGGUAGUGUUAACGUCAGGUAGUGUACAGGUCAGGUAGUGUUAACGUCAGAUAGUGUACAGGUCAGGUAGUGUAAAGGUCAGAUAGUGUACAGGUCAGAUAGUGUACAGGUCAGGUAGUGCAGAGGUCAGAUAGUGUACAGGUCAGAUAGUGUAGAGGUCAGGUAGUGUGCAGGUCAGAUAGUGCACAUGUAGGUCAGGUAGUGUACAUGUAGGUCAGAUAGUGUAGAGGUCAGAAAGUGUACAGGUCAGGUAGUGUACAGGUCAGGUAGUGUACAGGUCAGGUAGUGUACAGGUCAGGUAGUGUACAGGUCAGGUAGUGUACAGGUCAGAUAGUGUACAGGUCAGGUAGUGUAAAGGUCAGGUAGUGUACAGGUCAGGUAGUGUACAUGUAGGUCAGGUAGUGUAAAGGUCAGGUAGUGUACAGGUCAGGUAGUCUACAGGUCAGGUAGUGUAGAGGUCAGGUAGUGUACAGGUCAGGUAGUGUAGAGGUCAGAUAGUUUACAUGUAGGUCAGGUAGUGUACAGGUCAGGUAGUGUACAUGUAGGUCAGGUAGUGUACAGGUCAGAUAGUGUACAGGUCAGGUAGUGUACAUGUAGGUCAGGUAGUGUACAGGUCAGAUAGUGUACAGGUCAGAUAGUGUACCAGUCAGGUAGUGUACAGGUCAGGUAGAGUACAGGUCAGGUAGUGUACAGGUCAGGUAGUGUAAAGGUCAGAUAGUGUACAGGUCAGGUAGUGUACAUGUAGGUCAGGUAGUGUACAUGUAGGUCAGGUAGUGUACAUGUAGGUCAGGUAGUGUACAGGUCAGGUAGUGUACAGGUCAGGUAGUCUACAGGUCAGGUAGUGUACAGGUCAGGUAGUGUACAGGUCAGGUAGUGUACAGGUCAGAUAGUAUACUAGUCAGGUAGUGUACAGGUCAGGUAGAGUACAGGUCAGGUAGUGUACAGGUCAGGUAGUGUACAGGUCAGGUAGUGUACAGGUCAGGUAGUGUAAAGGUCAGGUAGUGUACAUGUAGGUCAGGUAGUGUACAUGUAGGUCAGGUAGUGUACAUGUAGGUCAGGUAGUGUACAUGUAGGUCAGGUAGUGUACAGGUCAGGUAGUGUACAGGUCAGGUAGUGUACAUGUAGGUCAGGUAGUGUACAUGUAGGUCAGGUAGUGUACAUGUAGGUCAGGUAGUGUACAUGUAGGUCAGGUAGUGUACAGGUCAGAUAGUGUACAGGUCAGAUAGUGUACAGGUCAGGUAUUGUACAGGUCAGAUAGUGUACAUGUCAGGUAGUCUACUGGUCAGGUAGUGUACAGGUCAGGUAGUGUACAGGUCAGGUAGUGUACAGGUCAGGUAGUGUACAGGUCAGAUAGUUUACAGGUCAGGUAGCGUACAUGUAGGUCAGGUAGUGUAGAUGUAGGUCAGGUAGUGUACAUGUAGGUCAGGUAGUUUAGAGGUCAGAUAGUGUACAGGUCAGGUAGUGUACAUGUAGGUCAGGUAGUGUACAUGUAGGUCAGGUAGUGUACAGGUCAGGUAGUCUACAGGUCAGGUAGUGUACAGGCCAGGUAGUGUACUAGUCAGGUAGUGUACAGGUCACGUAGUGUACAGGUCAGAUAGUAUACUAGUCAGGUAGUGUACAGGUCAGGUAGUGUACAGGUAAGAUACUGUACAGGUCAGGUAGU